rnacentral:rRNA from 1 species
CUGCAUGGCUGUCGUCAGCUCGUGUUGUGAAAUGUUGGGUUAAGUCCCGCAACGAGCGCAACCCUUAUCCUUUGUUGCCAGCGGUCCGGCCGGGAACUCAAAGGAGACUGCCAGUGAUAAACUGGAGGAAGGUGGGGAUGACGUCAAGUCAUCAUGGCCCUUACGAGUAGGGCUACACACGUGCUACAAUGGCGCAUACAAAGAGAAGCGACCUCGCGAGAGCAAGCGGACCUCAUAAAGUGCGUCGUAGUCCGGAUUGGAGUCUGCAACUCGACUCCAUGAAGUCGGAAUCGCUAGUAAUCGUGGAUCAGAAUGCCACGGUGAAUACGUUCCCGGGUCUUGUACACACCG